AUACUCACGAAGAUAUAUGUAUAACUAAAAUUGGAACAUAAAGAGAAGAUUAGCAUGACCCCAGCACAAGGAUGACACGCAAAAUCGUGAAGUGUUCCACAUUUUU
rnacentral:snRNA from 1 species